rnacentral:rRNA from 1 species
AAUCAACGCUGGCGGCGUGCCUAACACAUGCAAGUCGAACGCGAGAGGGGCUUCGGCCCCAAUUGAGUGGCAAACGGGUGAGUAACGCGUGGGUGACCUACCUUCGAGUGGGGGAUAACGUUUCGAAAGGAACGCUAAUACCGCAUGACAUCCUGCCUUUGGACAGGCGGCGAUCAAAGCCGGGGACCGCAAGGCCUGGCGCUUGGAGAGGGGCCCGCGUCCGAUUAGCUAGUUGGUGAGGUAACGGCUCACCAAGGCGACGAUCGGUAGCCGGCCUGAGAGGGCGGACGGCCACACUGGGACUGAGACACGGCCAGACUCCUACGGGAGGCAGCAGUGGGGAAUUGUUCGCAAUGGGCGCAAGCCUGACGACGCAACGCCGCGUGGAGGAUGAAGGUCUUCGGAUUGUAAACUCCUGUUGAUUGGGACGAACAUCCAUCGGGAUAACACCCCGGAGGACUGACGGUACCGAUUGAGGAAGCCCGGCUAACUCUGUGCCAGCAGCCGCA